rnacentral:lncRNA from 1 species
AAAAAUAUAUAUAAUAGUAUAUAAAUGAAUCAUUAGGAGAUAUAAGGUACGACAAAUCCAAAAAAGGAAAACGUAAAACAAUAUAUAAAAAAAUAAUGUAAACAAUUAAAAAUACAACAAUCCGCCCAAAACCCACAAAUCGUGUUCAAAUUUCAUGCCAACAUAUAAAAGGGCCCAAAAUAUUAACAUCUAGAUCUAUAUUUGGUAAAAACCCUAAUAGCACACGUUUCUCAAUGAUUC